GAUGAACGCUGGCGGCGUGCCUAAUACAUGCAAGUCGAGCGAACAGACGAGGAGCUUGCUCCUCUGACGUUAGCGGCGGACGGGUGAGUAACACGUGGAUAACCUACCUAUAAGACUGGGAUAACUUCGGGAAACCGGAGCUAAUACCGGAUAAUAUAUUGAACCGCAUGGUUCAAUAGUGAAAGACGGUUUUGCUGUCACUUAUAGAUGGAUCCGCGCCGCAUUAGCUAGUUGGUAAGGUAACGGCUUACCAAGGCAACGAUGCGUAGCCGACCUGAGAGGGUGAUCGGCCACACUGGAACUGAGACACGGACCAGACGCCUACGGGAGGCAGCAGUAGGGAAUCUUCCGCAAUGGGCGAAAGCCUGACGGAGCAACGCCGCGUGAGUGAUGAAGGUCUUCGGAUCGUAAAACUCUGUUAUUAGGGAAGAACAAAUGUGUAAGUAACUAUGCACGUCUUGACGGUACCUAAUCAGAAAGCCACGGCUAACUACGUG
rnacentral:rRNA from 1 species